rnacentral:rRNA from 1 species
CCUACGGGAGGCAGCAGUGGGGAAUAUUGCACAAUGGGCGGAAGCCUGAUGCAGCAACGCCGCGUGCGGGAUGACGGCCUUCGGGUUGUAAACCGCUUUCGCCUGUGACGAAGCGUGAGUGACGGUAAUGGGUAAAGAAGCACCGGCUAACUACGUGCCAGCAGCCGCGGUGAUACGUAGGGUGCGAGCGUUGUCCGGAUUUAUUGGGCGUAAAGGGCUCGUAGGUGGUUGAUCGCGUCGGAAGUGUAAUCUUGGGGCUUAACCCUGAGCGUGCUUUCGAUACGGGUUGACUUGAGGAAGGUAGGGGAGAAUGGAAUUCCUGGUGGAGCGGUGGAAUGCGCAGAUAUCAGGAGGAACACCAGUGGCGAAGGCGGUUCUCUGGGCCUUUCCUGACGCUGAGGAGCGAAAGCGUGGGGAGCGAACAGGCUUAGAUACCCUGGUAGUCCACGCUGUAAACGGUGGGUACUAGGUGUGGGGUCCAUUCCACGGGUUCCGUGCCGUAGCUAACGCUUUAAGUACCCGCCUGGGGAGUCGCGCAGCAACUACAAGAGUAGAGCGNGNGAGNGCGACGACGACGACGAGGAGUAG